UACGUAGGGAGCAAGCGUUGUCCGGAAUUACUGGGUGUAAAGGGAGCGUAGGCGGGAGGAUAAGUUGAAUGUGAAAUCUAUGGGCUCAACCCAUAGCUGCGUUCAAAACUGUUCUUCUUGAGUGAAGUAGAGGCAGGCGGAAUUCCUAGUGUAGCGGUGAAAUGCGUAGAUAUUAGGAGGAACACCAGUGGCGAAGGCGGCCUGCUGGGCUUUUACUGACGCUGAGGCUCGAAAGCGUGGGUAGCAAACAGG
rnacentral:rRNA from 1 species